rnacentral:rRNA from 1 species
CCUACGGGUGGCUGCAGUGAGGAAUAUUGGUCAAUGGGCGGAAGUCUGAACCAGCCAAGUAGCGUGCGGGAUGAAGGCCCUAUGGGUUGUAAACUGCUUUUGCACGGGGAUAACACCAUCCACGUGUGCAGUUCUGCAGGUACCGUUCGAAUAAGGGUCGGCUAACUCCGUGCCAGCAGCCGCGGUAAUACGGAGGCCCCGAGCGUUAUCCGGAUUGAUUGGGCUUAAAGGGAGCGUAGGGGGGCUGUUAAGUCAGGUGUGAAAGUCGGGGGCUCAACCGCGGAAGUGCAGUUGAGACUGGCAGGCUUGAGUUCACGUGAGGCAGGCGGAAUUCGUGGUGUAGCGGUGAAAUGCAUAGAUAGCACGAGGAACCCCGAUUGCGAAGGCAGCCUACCAAGCUGCGACUGACGCUGAGGCUCGAAGGUGUGGGUAUCAAACAGGAUUAGAUACCCGAGUAGUC